UACGAAGGGGGCUAGCGUUGCUCGGAAUUACUGGGCGUAAAGCGCACGUAGGCGGCUUUUUAAGUCGGAGGUGAAAUCCUGGAGCUCAACUCCAGAACUGCCUUCGAUACUGAAGAGCUCGAGUCCGGGAGAGGUGAGUGGAACUGCGAGUGUAAGAGGUGAAAUGCGCAGAUAUCAGGAAGAACACCCGUGGCGAAGGCGGCUCUCUGGGACGGUACUGACGCUGAGACGCGAAAGCGUGGGGAGCGAACAGG
rnacentral:rRNA from 1 species